rnacentral:rRNA from 1 species
AGUGAACGCUGGCGGCAGGCCUAACACAUGCAAGUCGAACGGCAGCACAGGAGAGCUUGCUCUCUGGGUGGCGAGUGGCGGACGGGUGAGGAAUAUAUCGGAAUCUACCCUUUCGUGGGGGAUAACGUAGGGAAACUUACGCUAAUACCGCAUACGAACUGAGGUUGAAAGCGGCGGACCGCAAGGCGUCGCGCGGAUGGAUGAGCCGAUAUCCGAUUAGCUAGUUGGCGGGGUAAAGACCCACCAAGGCGACGAUCGGUAGCUGGUCUGAGAGGAUGACCAGGCAGACGGGAACUGAGACACGAUCCAGACUCCUACGGGAGGCAGCAGUGGGGAAUAUUGGACAAUGGGCGCAAGCCUGAUCCAGCCAUGCCGCGUGUGUGAAGAAGGCCUUCGGGUUGUAAAGCACUUUUGUUGGGAAAGAAAAGCGGUCGGUUAAUACCCGGUCGUUCUGACGGUACCCAAAGAAUAAGCACCGGCUAACUUCGUGCCAGCCGCCGCAGUAA